UACAGAGACUGCAAGCGUUAUUCGGAUUCACUGGGCGUAAAGGGUGCGCAGGCGGCCAAGUGUGUGAGGCGUGAAAGCCCGGGGCUUAACCCCGGAAUUGCACCUCAAACUACAUGGCUAGAGCAUUGGAGAGGGUAGCGGAAUUCACGGUGUAGCAGUGAAAUGCGUAGAUAUCGUAAGGAACACCAGAGGCGAAGGCGGCUACCUGGACAAUUGCUGACGCUCAGGCACGAAAGCGUGGGGAGCAAAAGGG
rnacentral:rRNA from 1 species